rnacentral:lncRNA from 1 species
ACUGACCUGAGCAGCUUUCCAAUUACAUCAAUGAUGUAUGUCCACUAUAUCUCCACUACAUUAGUAUCAUGAGAAAAGAGCUUGGUGCAUUAUUAGAAGCUGUUUUUUGGAUCUUGUACAAUGCCAGCUCCUUCACUUGCGUCUUCUAACAUUGUUGCUCUUCUGUGCUGAUGGCAUGCUUCUGUUAAGACCUAACUGCCAUGAUCAAAUUAUCCUGCUUAGAUACCUUCCUAAAAGAAUUGGUCAUGUUCACAGUCAGGGUGGCAGUCAUUAUUUGGCAUUUAUAUGUACAUUGGUAUCUUAUGGAUACACUGGGGCCACAGUCCUGAGGGGCCCUUCGACCAUGGGGAUUUAUAAAGCAUUGUAUACACAUGGCUUCUACCUCUUGGUGGUGUCUUUAUAUUAUGGGGGUAUUUUGGAUAGUACCUUUUCCCAGAAUUAAGCAAUAGGAUGGACAAGGACACCAUUAUAGCUGUCAUGUAAACAGCUGUCACACCCAUGUUAAAUCUCUUCAUUUGUAAUCUAAGAAAUAGGGAUACAAAAGAAGCACUAGGGAUACUCUUGUCAAGUAAGAGGUUUUAC